UUCUCUUCUUCUUCAAAAAAGAAACAUUCAAUAAAAAAAAACUUUUCCUUCGGCAGGAAAAAAAAAAGAAGAGAAACUCAGAGGCUUUUUCGUUGGCUUUCUUCCUCUCUGGCGGCCUCCACGGCGCUGUGAGAGGAACCCUGGUAGCUUUAAUUUAGGUUUAUUGCAGUUUAGUCGAAAGCCGGUGAGAUUAGCGGUGGCAAGCGAGGUGGGCGUUGCGAGAUUAGGGUUUUGUUUUGUGGAAGAGAUGGUUCAGAUCUGGCUCUGAUGUUCCUUCUUAAGGCGGAUCCGGUCAUGGCUAAGGGGUUUGUCUGUUUUCCGGCCAAUUCCAUCGGCUUUCUGUUUCAGUUGGUGAUGGUGCUCGGCGACGGGUUUCAGCGGCUCUCUGGGUUUUCUGAUCUUCUCGCGAGUUGUCGACCUCCUCACUUGCUUCCAGAUCUUUUUGUUCUGGCUCUCUAUUUAUCGGGCUUUUGGGUUGUCCAACGGUUCUUUGAGCGGAUCUGGAUGCUCUUUCAACCGGGAUAAUUUGCACAAAAGCAAUCAGAGAUGGAGACUCAUCAUUUUCGGAGAAGGCCAAUGGUUGUCUACGAGUUCUCGUCAUUUGUGUCGCCGCCCGUCUUCAUAACUUGAAGCAAUGCUGCGAUGGUUCCUCAUUUGUCAUUGUUAAAAUCUGUCCUAGGUGUAGGAUUGGAAAUGUCAUUUGUUUCUCUUAUGGUUCAAAGUUGCUUUCUCCCUUGAUUGUAAUUUGUAAAUAUUCUAUUUCAAUAUUCAACCGAUGAAAACAAAAAAAUCGUAAAAAUACUUUUGAGUUCUUCA